UACAGAGGUCUCAAGCGUUGUUCGGAUUCAUUGGGCGUAAAGGGUGCGUAGGCGGCUUUGCAAGUCGGGUGUGAAAUCCCCAGGCUCAACCUGGGAACUGCAUUCGAGACUGCAUUGCUAGAGUAUGGGAGAGGGAAGUGGAAUUUCCGGUGUAGCGGUGAAAUGCGUAGAUAUCGGAAGGAACAUCAGUGGCGAAAGCGACUUCCUGGACCAAUACUGACGCUCAUGUGCGAAAGCGUGGGGAGCAAACAGG
rnacentral:rRNA from 1 species